UACGGGGGGGGCAAGCGUUGUUCGGAAUUACUGGGCGUAAAGGGCUCGUAGGCGGCCAACUAAGUCAGACGUGAAAUCCCCAGGCUCAACCUGGGAACUGCGUCUGAUACUGGAUGGCUUGAGAUUGGGAGAGGGAUGCGGAAUUCCAGGUGUAGCGGUGAAAUGCGUAGAUAUCUGGAGGAACACCGGUGGCAAAGGCGGCAUCCUGGACCAACACUGACACUGAGGAGCGAAAGCCAGGGGAGCAAACGGG
rnacentral:rRNA from 1 species